UGUCUCGAAGAUGUUAAGGAUCGGGUGUUUCUUAAAAUGGAGCUGAAACAACUGUUUCUAAUGUGGGUAUCGAGGAGUAUAUGGGAGCAGUUGACAAUGAAAUUACUGGCCAAACCAAAGUUAUUGUCUUAUCAUGGGUCAAGGUAUUUGGCACCCGCUAUGCUGAAGGAUGUGUCAUAGUCACUUCUUUAAAUUAUGGACAACCAUCCUUUGGUAGGAUUGAUAAGGUUUUUUUGUUUUGGGGACAGUAAUAUUCCAGUACCAUUGUCUCCAGCUGAUGGAAUAUUCAGAACAUUUGAAUGCCUAUGAGGUUUUGCCACUAUAUGAUAAACAAUUUAUAAAACAGAGAGAUUUACAAGAUUAUCAUCCCCUCGGUAUUCAUCAAGGUUUUGGAAAAAAUGCAAGAAAAUGUUUUGUCAUCUUGCGUUAUAGGGUAGACAUCUUACAGUAAUUUAGGAACUGGAUUUAGAACAAUUGUGUAAAUAUGCAUAUAUUCAAAUUUGUUAAUGUGUUAAAAGUGCAACCUAAAAAGAAAAAUUCCAUGCAUGACCAAAUUGUGUAUUGAAUAUUAUUCCAUUCAGUAAGAACAUCUAACCCUCUACCAUCCCCAGACAAGGUAAAUUUAUAGAAGACUGAUAGGGCACACACACAAGUAGACACAUCAAAUCAGCUGAACAGUAUCUUUUGAUGUUUAGCAAGCGCAAAUACUAUAGCAUGAGAUAAUUUUUAAUACUUUUCUUUUAAUUUUGGUGUUAAUUUGUUUACAUACUCCUGACAUAAACCUGCUGUUGCAUAUGUACGCUCCAGUCUUGGAUCUUAAUUGAUUCUAUUGCACUGACAAUGUCAAUUUUCUUUUCUUCAGUCUCAGUCUCAUUAGCAACGGUGUCACUUGUGUCAUACCCAUCCAUCUGAUCAUAUUCCUCAACCACUCUCCUCCUUUUGUUUGUUUUUUUUUCUUUUUUUCUUUUUCUGCUCACAUGUUUCCUCUUUAAAGAUGCAUUUGCUUCUGAAAUAUUUGCAAUCAUUCAGUUCAGAUGAGCUCAUGCUCAGGAGUAUUUAAGAAAAUUUUAUAUUAACUUUAAUAAUACAUUGUCAUUGUCUGAAGUUUGGUUUUUUAAUUAAAUAUAUUUUAUAAGCUUAAGCAACCCAUAUAUAUUAAAAACAUAUAUAUGGGUUGCUUCCUUAACUGGAAGCGCUUGAUAAUUCAGAAUUACAUUACAGCCUGAGCCUGGCCUAGGCCUGGAAAAUGAGUUGGCUGAAAUUCUUCCCCUAAAAAAUGAAACAGCUGCUGACCUUGUACGUUGGCGUCUUCAACGUUUAGUAAACACUCUUCGUUUGACUAUAAAAAAACCAAAAGACUAUAAUGGACGCCAUAAUAAGAGAAAAGAUUAAUAAUUCAUGAACUCACCUCUGAUUUGUUCGCCAUCUUUGAAUAACAAUACCACGUGUUCAGAUUCAGGUCAUGUUGACAAAUUGCCGAAAAAUUUCUCGCGUACAAAUUACACGAAAAUU